rnacentral:rRNA from 1 species
UACGUAGGGGGCUAGCGUUGUCCGGAUUUAUUGGGCGUAAAGAGCGUGUAGGCGGCCAGGUAGGUCCGUUGUGAAAACUCGAGGCUCAACCUCGAGACGUCGGCGGAAACCAUCUGGCUAGAGUCCGGAAGAGGAGAGUGGAAUUCCUGGUGUAGCGGUGAAAUGCGCAGAUAUCAGGAAGAACACCCGUGGCGAAGGCGACUCUUUGGUCUGUAACUGACGCUGAGGCGCGAAAGCGUGGGUAGCAAACAGG